rnacentral:rRNA from 1 species
GUCUAUGGCCAUGCCACCCCAAAUGCAUCCCAUCCCAUCCAACCUCAGAAGCUAAGCAGGGUUGGGCCUACUUAGUACUUGGAUGGGAGAACAAGGCAUCUUGUGCUAGAUU